CCUAUAGUUAAUUCAUUUCAAUAUAUUUACUUGGUGCAUCCUAAUACAGUUUCUCAAAUGCAACAAAAUCCAACUACUUUACAAGCUAUAAUAACAGAAGUUUAAGUGUCAUAUGUCGUAUUUGCAAACAAUGAGCUAUGUUCUCUGGAUCUAGGUUUAUCACCAACUGUAGCAGGCGUGGAAACCACCAUAAUUCACAAGCAGCAUUCCUGGAAAGGACUUUCCACUUGUCUGGAGCUUACUGACUUCGAUGUAUCUGGAUUGUUCUUUUCUACUUACCAGUUCAUCAGCAAGGAAAAAAACCACUACAUUCCAAAUUUACGUUAAAGUUAAGAACUGGCUACGUAAAUUUGCAAGGCACUGAACUUCUCAGAGUAAUCGUGGGGAGCACAUUUGACUCUGAUAUAACCCAUUUGGUCUUAAGCCUUGGACUCUGUACAAGAAUAAGUUAUUUUGAUUGUGUGAAACAAUAUAGAGAUACAGUUGUGUAUCCCAUAUCCAUUUGACUGCACUUACAUGCCUGAUUGAGACAGACAGUACACGAGGACUACAGGGGAAACUGUGCCCUCGAAUGUGUCUGAGUAGCAGGUAGAAGAAAAAGAUGACACUCGUGAUUCAUAGGGAGAGACAGUCUCACAGCUUCAUCUCUCAGAACAGUGACCUUGACUGAGUGACUGAGCCUGCUACUUCAUUCUUUCAUUCCUGAUACUUUAAUUCCUGAUUUCUUGGUGGUCCAACCUUGUUAGGAGAAGCAUGUUCCCAUAAAACACUUCUCUAAGAAUUAGUAGCUAUCAUUUCAGCUCUGCCCGUCUUCCCUCCGUGCCAAAAGAAGAGAAUGCAUAGCAAGUUCUCUGCAGGUGCUGUGUUUGUUCUUUAAUGUCAGCAUCACAUCUCCAGUUGCUUUUAUAUUUUGAUCUGAACCUAGCAAAGAGCUAAGUGUGAAUGAAAUAAAUUAAACAAACUAAAGAUCUCUGACCUUUCC
rnacentral:lncRNA from 1 species